CCAAUAGCGUAUAUUAAAGUUGUUGCAGUUAAAAAGCUCGUAGUUGAACUUCGGGGUUCACCCAUUGGUCAGGCUUAAUUGUCUGCACUGGUGAGAUGAGUCUCUACCUUCUGAGGAACUUUCAUGCCAUUUAUUUGGUGUGAUUGGAAAUCAGGACUGUUACUUUGAAAAAAUUAGAGUGUUUAAAGCAGGCUAACGUCUGAAUACAUUAGCAUGGAAUAAUGAAAUAGGACGGACUGAUUCUAUUUCGUUGGUUUCUAGGAUCACCGUAAUGAUUAAUAGGGAUAGUUGGGGGCAUUAGUAUUCAAUUGACAGAGGUGAAAUUCUUGGAUUUAUUGAAGACUAACUACUGCGAAAGCAUUUGCCAAGGAUGUUUUCAUUAAUCAAGAACGAAAGUUAGGGGAUCGAAGACGAUCAGAUACCGUCGUAGUCUUAACCAUAAACUAUGCCGACUAGGGAUCGGACGAAGUUAAUUUUAUAAUGACGCGUUCGGCACCUUACG
rnacentral:rRNA from 1 species